AUUUGCAGUGGUGUGUGUCACAGUAGCACUUUGUCAGCGGUCUGUUAUUUAUUUGAGUGAUACGUGAUGAACAUUGUAAUUAUCUGGUCGUACUGAGGACAAGACGCUUGACCUCCUGGUGGUGUUGUCACAGGUUUGAAGUGAUCGGCUACGGCUGUGCCACUUGUGUUGGGAACACGUCACCGUUACCAGAAGCUGCUCGUGGAGGCAAUCAAACAGGGGAACCUGGUGACUUGCGGUGUGUUAUCCGGAAACAGGCAUUUUGAAGGCCGUCUAUGUGACUGUGUGCGUGCAAACUAUCUGGCCUCCCCUCCCCUGGUGGUGGCUUAUGCUAUUGCAGGGACUAUGGGAAUCGA